rnacentral:rRNA from 1 species
UAUCUCUGUAGAGUCUGCAUAUCAAUAAGCGGAGGAAAAGAAACUAACAAGGAUUCCCUUAGUAACGGCGAGUGAAGCGGGAAGAGCUCAAAUUUGAAAUCUUAAAGGGUUUCCCUUUACGAAUUGUAGUUUAAAGAAGUGUUUUCUGUUGGAGUUUCGGUAAAAGUUCUUUGGAAUAGGACAUCAUAGAGGGUGAGAAUCCCGUAUUUGACCGUUACUUUCAGCUGUGUGAUACACUUUCAAAGAGUCGGAUUGUUUGGGAAUGCAGUCCAAAAUGGGUGGUAAAUUUCAUCUAAAGCUAAAUAUUGGCGAGAGACCGAUAGCGAACAAGUACCGUGAGGGAAAGAUGAAAAGAACUUUGAAAAGAGAGUUAAACAGUACGUGAAAUUGUCAAAAGGGAAGCGUUUGACACCAGUGUUGUUUUUCCGAAAAUCAAUUACGAAUGUUUUAGUUUUUGAGGAGUUAUGACUUCAUCGGCUUGCUCCUUUCUUUACGAAACUUUCUUAAUGCACUUUUCGGUUAACAAGUCAACAUCAAUUUCUUUUGUUGUAAAAGGGUAUGAGGAAGGUGGCUUUCUUUUCGGAGAAAGUGUUUAUAGCCUUGUGACUCCUGCAAUCGGAGAGACUGAGGUCUGCAGCGUAGAUCCUUUUGGAUUAGAUUCAGUUUGUGCUAAGUUAUAGCUUUUUAUAGACAACAUGUUGACUAUAUUUAGUCUUGUAACUUACUCGCUUAUGUAAUUUUACCUACGCUUAGGAUGUUGAACGCGCACAGAGUCUC